ensembl:snoRNA small nucleolar RNA SNORD77
GUACUGUCAUGGCCGCGUAGUUCAGCAGAUCGUCUCCUGUGAGAGGUACCAUUAGUCUGAUGUGUCU